rnacentral:rRNA from 1 species
AUAUCAGUCAUGCAUAGCAUAUCAAUAAGCGGAGGAAAAGAAACUAACAAGGAUUCCCUUAGUAACGGCGAGUGAAGCGGGAAGAGCUCAAAUUUGAAAUCUUCAAGGUUCUACCUUGACGAAUUGUAGUUUAUAGAAGUGUUUUCUGUUAGUGGAGUGGCAAAAGUUCUUUGGAAUAGGACAUCAUAGAGGGUGAGAAUCCCGUAUUUGGUCAUUCCUCCUAGCGUUGUGAUACACUUUCAACGAGUCGGAUUGUUUGGGAAUGCAGUCCAAAAUGGGUGGUAAAUUUCAUCUAAAGCUAAAUAUUGGCGAGAGACCGAUAGCGAACAAGUACCGUGAGGGGAAGAUGAAAAGAACUUUGAAAAGAGAGUUAAACAGUACGUGAAAUUGUCGAAAGGGAAGCGUUUGACACCAGUGUUGUUUUUCCGAAAAUCAAUUACGAAUGUUUUGUUUUUAAGAAGUUAUGACUUCAUCGGCUUGCUUCUUUCUUUACGAAACUUUCUUAAUGCACUUUUCGGUUAACAAGUCAACAUCAAUUUCUUUUGUUGUAAAAGGGUAUGAGGAAGGUGGCUUUCUUUUCGGAGAAAGUGUUUAUAGCCUUGUGCCUCUGCAAUCGGAGAGAUUGAGGUCUGCAGCGUAGAUCCUUCGGGGUUAGAUACGUUUGUGCUAAGUUAUAGCUUUUCAUAGACAACUUGUUGACUAUGUUUAGUCUUGUAGCUUACUCGCUUACGCUAUUUUACCUACGCUUAGGAUGUUGAUCUCUCACAGUCGAGC